GGCGAACGCUGGCGGCGUGCCUAAUACAUGCAAGUAGAACGCACAGUUUAUACCGUAGCUUGCUGCACCAUAGACUGUGAGUUGCGAACGGGUGAGUAACGCGUAGGUAACCUGCCUGGUAGCGGGGGAUAACUAUUGGAAACGAUAGCUAAUACCGCAUAAUAUUAAUUAUUGCAUGAUAAUUAAUUGAAAGGUGCAAUUGCACCACUACCAGAUGGACCUGCGUUGUAUUAGCUAGUAGGUGAGGUAACGGCUCACCUAGGCGACGAUACAUAGCCGACCUGAGAGGGUGAUCGGCCACACUGGGACUGAGACACGGCCCAGACUCCUACGGGAGGCAGCAGUAGGGAAUCUUCGGCAAUGGACGAAAGUCUGACCGAGCAACGCCGCGUGAGUGAAGAAGGUUGUCGGAUCGUAAAGCUCUGUUGUAAGAGAAGAACGGGUGUGAGAGUGGAAAGUUCACACUGUGACGGUAUCUUACCAGAAAGGGACGGCUAACUACGUG
rnacentral:rRNA from 1 species